rnacentral:lncRNA from 1 species
GAUAUUUUUGUAAGCAGGAAGAAAUGUUUACGCAGGCAUUCGUUAUCUUUGCCUUGAUGUACAUAACUACACUUCACUGUCAAAAGCCUACCAUGGGCCGACAAGUUACCAAGGAAGGAAGCUGUAAAGUCAACAACACAAGAGUCUUGCACGGCAGAUGGACGACAAUGCAAUACCCCUGUGCCAAUGUGUCUUGCCGCAAUAAGGUUGUGACGUGGCAGAACUGCACCCCUCCUUUGUUGCAAGAGGAUCCAAGCUGUCAAUUAUUGAGUCAUGAUGGAGAAUACCCGAUAUGCUGCCCCAAUUAUGUGUGCGAGUAGAACUGAAAGGGGUCAUCAUUGUUUCUGCACCAAACCAUUUGACAUAUGACAUCUGCAGAGAAGACUUUUCACGCGCCUACAAAAAG